UACAGAGGGGGCAAGCGUUGUUCGGAAUUACUGGGCGUAAAGGGCGCGUAGGCGGCCUUCUAAGUCGAACGUGAAAUCCCUGGGCUCAACCCAGGAACUGCGUCCGAUACUGGGAGGCUUGAAUCCGGGAGAGGGAUGCGGAAUUCCAGGUGUAGCGGUGAAAUGCGUAGAUAUCUGAAGGAACACCAGUGGCGAAAGCGGCUUCCUGGUCCAGUACCGACGUUCAGGCACGAAAGCGUGGGGAGCAAACAGG
rnacentral:rRNA from 1 species